rnacentral:tRNA from 1 species
GCGCCAUUAGUCUAGUAGCAGGAUACUCGCCUCCCACGCGAGCGGGCCCGGGUGCAAAUCGCGGAUGGCGCA